CAAGUCGAACGAGCAUUAGCAAUAAUGUGUAGUGGCGGACGGGUGCGUAACGCGUAAGAACCUACCUAUCGGAGGGGGGUAACAUUGGGAAACUGUUGCUAAUACCCCAUAAUAGCUGAGGAGCGAAAGGUGAAUAACCACCGGUAGAGGGGCUUGCGUCUGAUUAGCUAGUUGGGGGGGUAAAGGCCUCCCAAGGCCACGAUCAGUAGCUGGUCUGAGAGGAUGAUCAGCCACACUGGGACUGAGACACGGCCCAGACUCCUACGGGAGGCAGCAGUGGGGAAUUUUUCGCAAUGGGCGCAAGCCUGACGAAGCAAUGCCGCGUGCAGGAAGAAGGCCUGUGGGUUGUAAACUGCUUUUCCCAGAGAAGAAGUUCUGACGGUAUCUGGGGAAUAAGCACCGGCUAACCCUGUGCCAGCAGCCGCGGUAAUACAGGGGGUGCUAGCGUUAUCCGGAAUGAUUGGGCGUAAAGCGUUUGUAGGUGGUUCGUAAAGUCUAAUGUUAAAUACCAGGGCUUAACCCUGGACAGGCAUUGGAGUACUCACGAACUUGAGUGUGGUAGAGGUAGAGGGAAUUCCACGUGGAGCGGUGAAAUGCGUAGAGAUGUGGAGGAACACCAGCGGCGAAGGCGCUCUACUGGGCCAAGACUGACACUGAGAAACGAAAGCUGGGGGAGCAAAUAGGAUUAGAUACCCUAGUAGUCCCAGCUGUAAACUAUGGAGACUAAGUGCUGCCGAAUGCAGUGCUGUAGCUAACGCGUUAAGUCUCCCGCCUGGGGAGUAUGCUCGCAAGAGUGAAACUCAAAG
rnacentral:rRNA from 1 species